rnacentral:rRNA from 1 species
UACGUAGGUGGCAAGCGUUAUCCGGAUUUAUUGGGGGUAAAGGGAACGCAGGCGGUCUUUUAAGUCUGAUGUGAAAGCCUUCGGCUUAACCGGAGUAGUGCAUUGGAAACUGGGAGACUUGAGUGCAGAAGAGGAGAGUGGAACUCCAUGUGUAGCGGUGAAAUGCGUAGAUAUAUGGAAGAACACCAGUGGCGAAAGCGGCUCUCUGGUCUGUAACUGACGCUGAGGUUCGAAAGCGUGGGUAGCAAACAGG